rnacentral:misc_RNA from 1 species
GUAACUUGGAAACAGACUGAU